rnacentral:rRNA from 1 species
AGCUCCAAUAGCGUAUAUUAAAGUUGUUGCAGUUAAAAAGCUCGUAGUUGGAUUUCUGGCGUAAGUGAUUAGUUCGACCUUAGGUGGAUACCGAUCAUCUUACUCCAUCCUUGGGUCUAGCCUUGCUGGUAUUAAGUUACCGGCUUGUGCGAUGCCCAUCGUUUACUGUGAACAAAAUAGAGUGCUCUAAGCAGGCUUAUGCCGUUGAAUAUAUUAGCAUGGAAUAAUAAGAUAGGACUUUGGUGCUAUUUUGUUGGUUUGCGCAUCAAUGUAAUGAUAAAAAGGGACAGUUGUGGGUAUUUGUAUUUUGGUGUAAGAGGUGAAAUUCUUAGAUUACCAAAAGACAAACGACUGCGAAAGCAUUUACCAAGGAUGUUUUCAUUAAUCAAGAACGAAAGUA